rnacentral:rRNA from 1 species
GUGGGGAAUAUUGGACAAUGGGCGCAAGCCUGAUCCAGCCAUGCCGCGUGAGUGAUGAAGGCCUUAGGGUUGUAAAGCUCUUUCACCGAUGAAGAUAAUGACGGUAGUCGGAGAAGAAGCCCCGGCUAACUUCGUGCCAGCAGCCGCGGUAAUACGAAGGGGGCUAGCGUUGUUCGGAUUUACUGGGCGUAAAGCGCACGUAGGCGGUUUGUUAAGUCAGAGGUGAAAUCCCGGAGCUCAACUCCGGAACUGCCUUUGAUACUGGCAAGCUAGAGUCCGGAAGAGGUAAGUGGAAUUCCGAGUGUAGAGGUGAAAUUCGUAGAUAUUCGGAGGAACACCAGUGGCGAAGGCGGCUUACUGGUCCAUUACUGACGCUGAGGUGCGAAAGCGUGGGGAGCAAACAGGAUUAGAUACCCUAGUAGUCC